AUGUCAGUGUGAGAUGCUGCCUACGUUUUUCAUUGUGACCAACAGGUUGUUAGACUGCAAUCAAAAGCAGUUGGUAGGAAUGGAGCUGUCCCUGUUAUGAGAUUUGAACUCCUGGCAUCUUUAUCCACUGGAACUUGAGUGCCCAGGAGACACUAGAGAGGGGAUUUUGAGAGCAUUUCACAAGUCCUGCAGCUGUGAGCCGGUUUCAGCAUGAGG
rnacentral:lncRNA from 1 species